rnacentral:lncRNA from 1 species
UCUCUCUCUCUCUCUCUUUCCUGCUCCGCCGCGGUGAGACGUACUUGCUUCUCCUCACCUUCUACCGUGAUUCUGGACUAGACAGAAGACUACAGUUCAAUAAGAAGGAAACACAUUCAUUUUCAGUAUUGUUAAUAAAGAAGCUUACCUAAAAGAAGGAAAUCAAAACAAGAUAAUCUACACUGCAACUAGGGGAGGCUAUUGAAUGUGAUGGUCCCCUCAGAUGCCUAGAGGAAGAUGAACAAUGGUAAUCAGAUAUCCUAAAGUUAUCUUUAGGGCACUGGCAAAAUAGCAGCAAUGCCUGGUGGAAGCUGACUUUGUGCAUACACAUGAGAGCCCACAGAAAACUUCAAACUUCAUGGAAAUAAAACCUUCAGCUGCAGCUAAGAAUUUGGAGGUUACUGAAGGAGGUUACUUUUUCAAGAGCAGAAGUAAGGAUUCCACUGAAUUUGCUCACCAAAGAUAAGUCAGCAAAGAAAACUUACUGAAGAAUACAGGAACAUAAAUCUUAAGCAGGCUUACAUAAGGAAGGGAAGUGGUUGAAUCUGAGGUAAUUCCAUGGUGGACUUUGAAGAAAGCCUUCCAUGAGUUCCCAGUCCAUAUCCUCCAAAAGACAGCAUAUCAGCUCCUGCUUUCCAGACAAACUUCCUGGGUCUUGGGAAGAAGAAAGCCUCAGACUAAGAACUCUCUCUGGACUCAGACAGCCUGAAUUCAAAUCCCAUCUCUAUUCUUACUAGUCAUAUGAACACAGGAGAACCAUAUCCAUUCAGCUCACUUUGGACCACCUGUGGAGCCUGAUAACCAGGGAACAGAGAACCUGUUGAGAUCCAAAUUUGUGUGCCAGAUCACAAACUCAUCUGAAGCAGAUGCCACGUGUUACACUGUUAUGUCUCUCAGAGACUCCAGCACUUUGAAAGUAUUAGGCCUUGCUUAUUGAGAUGAAUAUUUUUUUCUAGGCAUGUCCCAAAGUUCUCAGCAUAGCUACAACCCUGAUUUUCACAGGAUUUUCAUUAAAAUUAGGUUCUAGAGCAUUACUUCCCUAAUGUGCAAUGCAACUUACGUUUAGUUUUCAAAUCAAAAUUAGUUUUGUUUUUCCACUGUCUUUGUCUUUGAAAAUAUUGAACUUGGGAUUUCCAAAAUUAUAAUUAGCAAUUAUUUUUACAUAUCUUUUAUAUACAUAACUUUUACAAUGGCUGCCAUUAUCAUGUAGGUUCUUAGGAAGUGUUUCUGAUCCUUGUAAAUAAAAGUGAAAGAAGAAAUCUUUACUGCUUGCUGACCCAUGUGACUAACCUUGAAAUCAGAGAGGCAGAUUCAUUUAAAACAAACUUGCAAACUGUUAAGCAAAGUACUGAAUCUCUGUGACUUGACCAAAAGUAAUUCAGACUUGACUAUUCCAGGCUCCCUUCUAUCUCUGUAGCAACCCAUGCAUCAUAGACUCCAGUUGCAAUGGAUGGUCAAGGAAUCUGCUGUGCCUUUUGAGUCUCUCCAUUUUAUAUUGCCAAAUUUAUCUUCCUUUAAUACUUCACUUCACAUAAGACACUAAGAUAAACAAGGAUGCAACUCACUUAUAUUUCAAAAUAGUACCUAGUGGUUAAAAGUACUUGUUCUGAAAGCAACUCUAUUUUUCUAGUUCUAACAUGUCUCCAACUAGUUAUCUCACCUUGAGCUUGGCACAUAAUCACUCCAUCUUACUUUUGCAUCUGUGACACAAGAAAAAUACCACCCACCUCAACAUAGAUCUUAUGAAGAUUAAAAUAAGAUUAUGAAAGUAAAAUGCUCAGCACAAUGUCUAAACGAAAAUAAAUGCUCAGCAAGUAGGAGCUACUAUAAUUAUUAUCCAGAUCAAAUAUUUUCUCCUCUAUGAAGCUUUCUUAUUCUUCCCCAGCUGGAAUUACUUAUUUUCUUCCUUGCUUUCUACACCACACUUUAGUCACCACCAUGCUGGCACUUGUCUCACCGCAUUAUAAUUAUUUAUGUGCCUGUGUUCCAUAACCAGAAUAUGGGACUUAAGCUUCUUUAUACCUCCAGCAUAAUUGUUUCAUGUGUGCUUUUAGGUAAUGGAGUAAAAUGGAUGAAUGAGUGAAUGCGACUAUAGUACUAAAUGCUCUUAGAUAAAGAUGUAAUUAUUCUUAAGUGAUAAAAUUAUUCGAACAUGAGUAGUUCAGAUAAUGAGAGACUGUCAUAGAAUUACUUGAUAAAAUCUAGUCAAUAAAAUGGCUUGGCAAUAUAACCUUUAUGAUUUCUUUAAACAAUCAUUCAUUUCUUUCUGAAGAUGAGAAGAGGAGAUUCCUUCUCCCAUCUUUAUAUUUCAACAAUGAUUAGAAAACAAAUUGAUCUCUGGGAUCAGUGCCCAAUACCAUUAAAGUGGUAUACAUCUUACAAUUCUUAAUUAAUUUGUGGCAUACAUAUACCAGUCUCCACAGCCAGCUUCAUCUGCAUACAGCAGCAUAAUCACUUUUUUCCUUAUAGUAAAGACAUAUUAUGAGUCAUCAAAGUCUUCUCCGGGGGUUGUGGUUAUCAUCUGGUAAUCACACCCUUGGGAGGUUAAAAACACUUAUCUUUGGAUCAUGACUUGCAAUGCCCCAGGGGUGUGAUUAUCUCAGGCAACUCACACUUUCUGUCAUGCCUAAUUGCUUAAUUAUUAUAGCUGCAAGUUCACACCACCAUACAGGAACUCAUGUUGUGUCAGCAUUUCCACUAUAAAUUCCUUUUUCAAGAGUCUAUAACUCAGCCAUAAAAAAAAAAAAAAAAAAAACCUAUGGUCCAUUGAAGCACUGCAGUAAGAGUCUUAUUCCAGGAAACAUUUCUGUAAUAGGUUAAUUGUAUCUUAAAAAUUGGGUCCUGAUUCUCAUAGUUAGUUCACCAAAGAAAUAAAUGCUAAUUAAAUGUCUCUAAAUUAUAUAUUUUUCUGUAUGGCUGGGUAAAUAAUGUAAAUCCUAAAGACAUAAAUAUUAUUUUUUAAAUAUAACAAGAAUGGCUCAUACAAUUUCCAGUUUUUUGGAAAUACACUUACACAUAUUUAUAAAAUAUUAUAUAAGUAGAAUGAGCUAAACCAUAGUUAGAGAACAUUGUCAUAUGCAAUCAUGUACUACAUAAUAUUUCAGUCAGUGGACAGCAUGUGGCAGUGGUCACAUAAGAUUAUAACGCAGCUGAAAAAUUCCUGUUGUCUAAUGACAUCAUGGCUGUCAUAACUGUCAUGGCCGUCAUGGCCAUCUGAACAUUGUAGUACAAUGUAUUCCUCAUGUGUUUGUGGUGAUGCUGAUGUAAACAAGCAUCUGCACUGCCAGUUGUAUAAAAGUGUAGCACAUACAAUUAUGUACAUACAAUUAUGCACACACAAUUAUGUACAACACAUAAUAUUUUAUAAUGACAAUAAACAAUUUUGUUACCGGUUUAUGUAUUCACUGUACUAUACCUUUCAUCAUUAUUUUAGAGUGUACUCUUUCUACUUAUAUAUAAAAA